CAGGGGAGAGUGGUGACAAGCCACAGGCUUAUAGCCAGGCCCAGUAUACAGACCUGGUCACACCAAAGGACACUGGACAUAAGCUUAUGUUCCCUACACUGGUCAGCAGGCUGCGCCCUCUCCCACGAUCACAGAUGUCCCCCCAGACCCACUAAUUCUCCUUGCCCAGUCUGGGCCACUCCAAACCCCUCACCUCAAAGAAAAAGCACUCCAUCAAAUUGAUCUGAAAACACACGAUAUGUGAAAACAUCUGCUUCUGCAAUUUACUCCUUCACAUCAGUGCAGUGGUCUUCCCGAGUGCCAAAAUGUUUUCAGCCCAGUCUGAGCAUUCCCGUCACUCCCAGAGGAACCCUACUAAGAAGAGAGCACAGAAACAGCAGAACAGUCCUCCAAGC